AUCCAGGAUUAGCUGAACUCAAUGUUAGGAAUAGAAGGAACUGAUUCUGGAACAUGAACUGUACUAGCAAUAAACUUUCUGUACUGGGAAUGUCCUAGAACUAGGCGAUCCUGAGGUUUUGGCCCUG